rnacentral:rRNA from 1 species
CACGUAGGCACCAAGCGUUAUCCGGAUUUAUUGGGCGUAAAGAGCUCGUAGGCGGUUCGGUAAGUCGGGUGUGAAAACUCUGGGCUCAACCCAGAGAGGCCACCCGAUACUGCUGUGACUAGAGUGCGGUAGGGGAGCGGGGAAUUCCUGGUGUAGCGGUGAAAUGCGCAGAUAUCAGGAGGAACACCGGUGGCGAAGGCGGCUCUCUGGAACGGUACUGACGCUGAGACGCGAAAGCGUGGGGAGCGAACAGG